rnacentral:rRNA from 1 species
GAUGAACGCUGGCGGCGUGCCUAACACAUGCAAGUCGAGCGGCAGCGAGGGGUGCUUGCACCCUGUCGGCGAGCGGCGGACGGCUGAGUAACGCGUGGGAACGUGCCCCAAAGUGAGGAAUAACUGCCCGAAAGGGUAGCUAAUACCGCAUAUUAUCUUCGGAUCAAAGGAUUUAUCCGCUUUGGGAGCGGCUCGCGUCGGAUUAGGUAGUUGGUGAGGUAAUGGCUCACCAAGCCGACGAUCCGUAGCUGGUCUGAGAGGAUGACCAGCCAGACUGGAACUGAGACACGGUCCAGACUCCUACGGGAGGCAGCAGUGAGGAAUCUUCCACAAUGGGCGAAAGCCUGAUGGAGCAACGCCGCGUGCAGGACGAAGGCCUUCGGGUUGUAAACUGCUUUUAAAAGUGAGGAAUAUGACGGUAACUUAUGAAUAAGGAUCGGCUAACUACGUG